rnacentral:miRNA from 2 species
UUAGUAGGACUAGAAUGGGCCAAA